UGCAUCCUUGACAGUUACUAACAAAAGAAGAGAGGAUGCUCACGAGAAAAGAGAGCCUCACCCAUGCCUGGAAGACAGGUAUCAGCUGUCUCUAGCUGACAGAUCCUGCGAAGAUCACUCAGAAAAGAGCCAUUUCCUGGGCUGGUGAGAUGGUUGGUUCAUCAGGAAAGGCGAUCUGUCACGGGAGCCCAUCACAGCCCGAUUGGAGUGCACUUUAUCUUUUCCUCUGCCCUGUCUGCUGAGCAAACAUGCACAUUUGGCAUUUCAGCCCUGGAAAUUCUCAGACUCUCAUUGCUCUUGCCCCAGAUGGAAACUUCAGUGUCUUUGCAGAAAAAUUCCACAUUCUCCUGCAACCUAAACCCAGCUCUUUACUGAAUCCUUAGGAUAUGCUGGGCUGUUGUGUCCUCAAGAGGGUUAUGAUACUGCGCGUGGAAUGAGAGAGAUGUAUGUGAAACAAUUUGAAAACAGGAAA